rfam:Salmonella enterica subsp. enterica serovar Macclesfield str. S-1643 plasmid unnamed1, complete sequence.
UCUGCUGUCUCACCAGCAGCUCCCUACCCGACUGAGCGUUGAGAGUAAUUUCAGGGUGCGAAGCGUCGGGGCAACGUAGCCACGGAUUAUCCGUAAGGACGAGCCAUGGGACUCAAUCCGAAACUACCUGGCGGUGAAGGAG